GAUGAACGCUGGCGGCGUGCCUAAUACAUGCAAGUCGAGCGAACGGACGAGAAGCUUGCUUCUCUGAUGUUAGCGGCGGACGGGUGAGUAACACGUGGAUAACCUACCUAUAAGACUGGGAUAACUUCGGGAAACCGGAGCUAAUACCGGAUAAUAUUUUGAACCGCAUGGUUCAAAAGUGAAAGACGGUCUUGCUGUCACUUAUAGAUGGAUCCGCGCUGCAUUAGCUAGUUGGUAAGGUAACGGCUUACCAAGGCAACGAUGCAUAGCCGACCUGAGAGGGUGAUCGGCCACACUGGAACUGAGACACGGUCCAGACUCCUACGGGAGGCAGCAGUAGGGAAUCUUCCGCAAUGGGCGAAGGCCUGACGGAGCAACGCCGCGUGAGUGAUGAAGGUCUUCGGGUCGUAAAACUCUGUUAUUAGGGAAGAACAUAUGUGUAAGUAACUGUGCACAUCUUGACGGUACCUAAUCAGAAAGCCACGGCUAACUACGUG
rnacentral:rRNA from 1 species